rnacentral:tRNA from 1 species
UCCCUGGUGGCUCAGUAGGUUAAGGUUUCAGCAUUGCCAUUGCUGAGGCUCUGAUUACUGAUGUGGCACAGGUUCAAUCCCUGACCUGGGAA